rnacentral:tRNA from 1 species
GCCGCCAUGGUGAAAUCGGUAGACACGCUGCUCUUAGGAAGCAGUGCUAGAGCAUCUCGGUUCGAGUCCGAGUGCGGCA